GUGCGCAUGGCUGAGCCAGGUCUAGGCAGACGGCUGCAACCCGUCAUACGUCGGUUCAAAUCCGGCUGCGCACU
rnacentral:tRNA from 1 species